GGGAUAACGUCCGGAAACGGGCGCUAAUACCGCAUACGUCCUGAGGGAGAAAGUGGGGGAUCUUCGGACCUCACGCUAUCAGAUGAGCCUAGGUCGGAUUAGCUAGUUGGUGGGGUAAAGGCCUACCAACGCGACGAUCCGUAACUGGUCUGAGAGGAUGAUCAGUCACACUGGAACUGAGACACGGUCCAGACUCCUACGGGAGGCAGCAGUGGGGAAUAUUGGACAAUGGGCGAAAGCCUGAUCCAGCCAUGCCGCGUGUGUGAAGAAGGUCUUCGGAUUGUAAAGCACUUUAAGUUGGGAGGAAGGGCAGUAAGUUAAUACCUUGCUGUUUUGACGUUACCAACAGAAUAAGCACCGGCUAACUUCGUGCCGGCAGCCGCGGUAAUACGAAGGGUGCAAGCGUUAAUCGGAAUUACUGGGCGUAAAGCGCGCGUAGGUGGUUCAGCAAGUUGGAUGUGAAAUCCCCGGGCUCAACCUGGGAACUGCAUCCAAAACUACUGAGCUAGAGUACGGUAGAGGGUGGUGGAAUUUCCUGUGUAGCGGUGAAAUGCGUAGAUAUAGGAAGGAACACCAGUGGCGAAGGCGACCACCUGGACUGAUACUGACACUGAGGUGCGAAAGCGUGGGGAGCAAACAGGAUUAG
rnacentral:rRNA from 1 species